rnacentral:rRNA from 1 species
GACGAACGCUUGCGGCGUGCUUAACACAUGCAAGUCGAACGGAAAGGCCCUGCUUUUGUGGGGUGCUCGAGUGGCGAACGGGUGAGUAACACGUGAGUAACCUGCCCUUGACUUUGGGAUAACUUCAGGAAACUGGGGCUAAUACCGGAUAGGAGCUCCUGCUGCAUGGUGGGGGUUGGAAAGUUUCGGCGGUUGGGGAUGGACUCGCGGCUUAUCAGCUUGUUGGUGGGGUAGUGGCUUACCAAGGCUUUGACGGGUAGCCGGCCUGAGAGGGUGACCGGCCACAUUGGGACUGAGAUACGGCCCAGACUCCUACGGGAGGCAGCAGUGGGGAAUAUUGCACAAUGGGCGGAAGCCUGAUGCAGCAACGCCGCGUGCGGGAUGACGGCCUUCGGGUUGUAAACCGCUUUCGCCUGUGACGAAGCGUGAGUGACGGUAAUGGGUAAAGAAGCACCGGCUAACUACGUGCCAGCAGCCGCGGUGAUACGUAGGGUGCGAGCGUUGUCCGGAUUUAUUGGGCGUAAAGAGCUCGUAGGUGGUUGAUCGCGUCGGAAGUGUAAUCUUGGGGCUUAACCCUGAGCGUGCUUUCGAUACGGGUUGACUUGAGGAAGGUAGGGGAGAAUGGAAUUCCUGGUGGAGCGGUGGAAUGCGCAGAUAUCAGGAGGAACACCAGUGGCGAAGGCGGUUCUCUGGGCCUUUCCUGACGCUGAGGAGCGAAAGCGUGGGGAGCGAACAGGCUUAGAUACCCUGGUAGUCCACGCUGUAAACGGUGGGUACUAGGUGUGGGGUCCAUUCCACGGGUUCCGUGCCGUAGCUAACGCUUUAAGUACCCCGCCUGGGGAGUACGGCCGCAAGGCUAAAACUCAAAGGAAUUGACGGGGCCCCGCACAAGCGGCGGAGCAUGCGGAUUAAUUCGAUGCAACGCGUAGAACCUUACCUGGGUUUGACAUGGAUCGGGAGUGCUCAGAGAUGGGUGUGCCUCUUUUGGGGUCGGUUCACAGGUGGUGCAUGGCUGUCGUCAGCUCGUGUCGUGAGAUGUUGGGUUAAGUCCCGCAACGAGCGCAACCCUUGUUCACUGUUGCCAGCACGUUAUGGUGGGGACUCAGUGGAGACCGCCGGGGUCAACUCGGAGGAAGGUGGGGAUGACGUCAAGUCAUCAUGCCCCUUAUGUCCAGGGCUUCACGCAUGCUACAAUGGCUGGUACAGAGAGUGGCGAGCCUGUGAGGGUGAGCGAAUCUCGGAAAGCCGGUCUCAGUUCGGAUUGGGGUCUGCAACUCGACCUCAUGAAGUCGGAGUCGCUAGUAAUCGCAGAUCAGCAACGCUGCGGUGAAUACGUUCCCGGGGCU